rnacentral:lncRNA from 1 species
AAAUCCCUAAGACGAUCCGGAAGUCCACCACCUGUUUUGACACCCAACUUAGUGCACCAAAUUCACAUAAAAAGCUUCAAAAAUAACGUCGCACCUACACGCAGUCUCAAACCCCGCCGCGGGUAAUAAUUUCCCCCCACACCAACCAAACUGCAGCGGCGCUGCUUAACAAUUCCAUAACUUUAAAAUUAAGACAGCAGUGGUGACAACCAAAAACUCCAGAGACAACUACGUACAUUUCCCCACAAGUUUGGUAUACAAUUUAGGAUUAAAUUCUAACAUCUAAUUACCCCUAAACGGUCCACAAGACAACCCCUGCAAUCUGUUUUUUUCCUUAUUUGGGCAGCGACAUAUUCGGAUUCAAACAGUGAUAACUUUUAAAAUAUAUGUCCGAAUCGAGCGCAUAAGUACUUGUUGGAAAGAUAACAUAAAGCCCUACAUAAUUCUCAUACUGAUUAACACUAAUUACUCCCGAAAAAUCCCCAGAAACGGCUAAUACUGCUGCUGUUCAUCCCCCUGAAAAUCUGUUUUUUGGACAGCCACAUACCCGGAUUCAAACGGUGAUAACUUUUAAUUUAUAACUCCAAAUUGAGCGCAUAAAUACUCGUUGGAAAGGUAUGCUAAAGUUCUACAUGAUUCCCAAACUGAUUCCCCUCAGUUCUCCACGAAAAAUGCCCAGAAAUCACUAAUUCUGUUGCUGUUCAUCCACCCCCUUAAAAUUCUGGACAGCCCUUCUACCAAAUCGCACACGCAACAUCUAAACAAUUGAUAAACACAAAAAUCACCUUGGGUUCUCCCCCUUUUCUUCAUCCCUUCCUCCCUCCACCGGAAACCGUUGAAGAUUUGCACCACGCGACUGAGAUCCGAGCGGCAACGAAUGACACCUUGGGAGGAGGAGAUGGGGGGGGCUAGGGUUUGAUGUGUGGCUGCAAGUGCUUGAGAAAGGAGGAGAUGGGAGGGGGGCGGCGGCCAAGAGGGUAG